rnacentral:rRNA from 1 species
UACGUAGGGUGCGAGCGUUAAUCGGAAUUACUGGGCGUAAAGCGUGCGUAGGCGGUUCGCUGUGUCCGAUGUGAAAGCCCCGGGCUUAACCUGGGAAUGGCAUUGGAAACUGGCGGGCUUGAGUGCGGCAGAGGGGGGUGGAAUUCCGCGUGUAGCAGUGAAAUGCGUAGAGAUGCGGAGGAACACCGAUGGCGAAGGCAGCCCCCUGGGUCGACACUGACGCCUCGAGGA